GACGAACGCUGGCGGCGUGCUUAACACAUGCAAGUCGAACGGAAAGGCCCUGCUUUUGUGGGGUGCUCGAGUGGCGAACGUGUGAGUAACACGUGAGUAACCUGCCCUUGACUUUGUGAUAACUUCAGGAAACUGGGGCUAAUACCGGAUAGGAGCUCCUGCUGCAUGGUGGGGGUUGGACAGUUUCGGCGGUUGGGGAUGGACUCUCGGCUUAUCAGCUUGUUGGUGGGGUAGUGGCUUACCAAGGCUUUGACGGGUAGCCGGCCUGAGAGGGUGAACGGCCACAUUGGGACUGAGAGACGGAGCAGACUCGUACGGGAGGCAGCAGUGGGGAAUAUUGCACAAUGGGGGGAAGCGUGAUGAAGAAGCGCCGCGUGCGGGAUGAAGGCCUUCGGGUUGUAAACCGCUUUCGCCUGUGACGAAGCGUGAGUGACGGUAAUGGGUGAAGAAGCACCGGCUAACUACGUG
rnacentral:rRNA from 1 species